UAAAGCAUUCUUUUCAUUAAAACAAAAAGCCAUUUUUCAUACAAAUGUUCAUUCCAUUGCAUUUACAUCAUGUUACAAAGUAAAAAUACAAGAAAAAUAACAACUUUGACCAAAGGUUGACUUUGGUCAAUAGUUGACUUUUUGGUCAACUUUGACCAAAGUCAAUCCAUCUAAUUUUCUAAAAAAAAAACUAAUCCUAAAUCUUCAUUCUUCAUGCUUCAUCAUUUCAUUCAAUCUUCUAUCCAAGUUGGUUUCCAUUUCAAGAAAGCUUUGCUUUGCAUUUGGCCAUUUCCAUGAAGCUUUCAUGAUGAUCAUGUUUUGAAACUUUGAUUCAAUGCCAACAAUAGCAUAUGGCAGCCCUGCACUCAAUCCAUGUAGCCAUACAUUAG
rnacentral:lncRNA from 1 species